UCGGAAUUGCUAGUAAUCGCAGAUCAGCAUGCUGCGGUGAAUACGUUCCCGGGCCUUGUACACACGCCCGUCACACCAUGGGAGUCGGUAACACCCGAAGUCGGUAGCCUAACCGUAAGGAGGGCGCCGCCGAAGGUGGGAUUGAUGACUGGGGUGAAGUCGUAACAAGGUACC
rnacentral:rRNA from 1 species